rnacentral:rRNA from 1 species
UACGUAGGGUCCGAGCGUUGUCCGGAAUUAUUGGGCGUAAAGAGCGUGUAGGCGCCAGACAGGUCCGUUGUGAAAACUCGAGGCUCAACUCGAGAUGUCGAUGGAAACCGUCUGGCUAGAGUCCGGAAGAGGAGUGUGGAAUUCCUGGUGUAGCGGUGGAAUGCGCAGAUAUCAGGAGGAACACCGGUAGCGAAGGCGGGUCUCUGGGCAUUAACUGACGCUGGAGGAGCGAAAGCAUGGGGAGCGAA